rnacentral:lncRNA from 1 species
GUUUGCAUUAGGAGUGUGUCAAAUAAGCAGAAAAGAAAACUGUUUCUUCUACUGUUUAUGAUCUUAUACAGUAGUCAGAAUCUCUCAUUCAAAAGCUGAUGAGCAUUUUUAGUACAGAUGCACAAUUCAAAAAAAAAAUUAAAGAGCAUAAGGGUUUUCAUCACAUGGACUUGUUCAACUGUUGAGGAUUAAUGUUUUGGUGGUGGAUCAAUUAAAGGACAACAAUCGGAAACACUAUCUUCGGUCUUUCCAGAGCUAUGCGAAGGAACGUUCUAGGAAAAGAAGACUGGUUGAAUAUCAACUGGCAACCAAGCAUGAUUGGUCACACGAGGCAAGCAGAUGCCUCAAGCUUUGGGGUCUUUGUGAUGCAGAUGGGUGCAGACAUCAUGAACAAUUUCCCAGAUAUUCCAACAUACAUCAAGAUGAACAGCAGCACCAAAGAAAUAAGAAAGUAGCAGGAAGACCUGUCAAUCAGAAUUCUUGACGCUUCAGGUAUUGUACCAUAUGAUCCUCAUUGCCUAAGUUUAUUGGUGUAUGUUGUUUUCCUGAAGCAUGUUCU